rnacentral:rRNA from 1 species
ACCAAGGCGACGACGGGUAGCCGGCCUGAGAGGGCGACCGGCCACACUGGGACUGAGACACGGCCCAGACUCCUACGGGAGGCAGCAGUGGGGAAUAUUGCGCAAUGGGCAAAAGCCUGACGCAGCGACGCCGCGUGGGGGAUGAAGGCCUUCGGGUUGUAAACCCCUUUCGGCAGGGACGAAGCGAAAGUGACGGUACCUGCAGAAGAAGCGCCGGCUAACUACGUGCCAGCAGCCGCGGUAACACGUAGGGCGCAAGCGUUGUCCGGAAUCAUUGGGCGUAAAGAGCUCGUAGGCGGUCUGUUGCGUCCGCUGUGAAAACUCGGGGCUUAACCCCGAGCUUGCAGUGGAUACGGGCAGACUAGAGGUAGGUAGGGGAGAAUGGAAUUCCCGGUGUAGCGGUGAAAUGCGCAGAUAUCGGGAGGAACACCGGUGGCGAAGGCGGUUCUCUGGGCCUUACCUGACGCUGAGGAGCGAAAGCGUGGGGAGCGAACAGGAUUAGAUACCCUGGUAGUCCACGCCGUAAACGUUGGGCGCUAGGUGUGGGAUCCUUCCACGGAUUCCGUGCCGCAGCUAACGCA